UAGGAUCUACAAUAAAAGUUUAUUGGAACA
rnacentral:piRNA from 1 species